AUGAACCUGAAGAACAUCAUUCUCAGCAAAGUGACACAAGAACAGAAAAUCAAACACCACAUGUUCUCACUCAUAGCAAAAGGUGAGCUUCAUGCAGUGGUGUAUGUUGGAAACAGAUGCCCGGUGCCACAGAGAAAAAUUAGCACUGAGACAAAGGAUCUCUCCGCAAAGCAGUUUUUUUUAAAUUCCUGCACUGCACGAAGGGCAGCCUUGCUAGCCAUCUUGCCGUGUGAGCACAACAGACGAAGGAAAGCAGACGUGUUUAUUUCUUAUGGGGCCGUCCUCACUGCUGUGUCUGAUCUCCAUUGGCCGGAGCUAGACCUCACAACCUAAACUAAAACCCAAUUGGCUAAUAACUUAAAACUUUUCUAAACAGGUAAGGGGCAUAGGCUGUGAGUUGGAACAUGCCUGUGAGCACUUCCAGCAGAGAUGUCUUGUUAAAGUACAAGGACAUAGAAUAUACCAUGUCCCUGUAAGCAUGGCAUGUUCGACAGCUACAUAGGAUAGGGCUUAACAAACAGUUAUUAGCAGAUUUAUUCUUUAACAAGAAAGGAAACUUUGAAGAAGUACUUUUUUACUUCCCACAGUA
rnacentral:lncRNA from 13 species